rnacentral:lncRNA from 1 species
CCAACCACACAGCUGCCUCAGCAAGCGUAGGAGAUGGCACAUCAGAGACCAACAAUUGUCAGCACAGCAAAACUGGGCAUUUCUUUUCUUACUGAGCUUUGCAGCUACCUACACAGUUGUGUGUGGCAUCUCCUCCUGGGUGCAAGGACAUGAGAUGACAUCAGUUACUGUGAUCUCCAGUAAAAUGUUUAAUACAAGUGGAGACAAUAGAUAACCUUUUCCAACUCCUGAUCGGGGGGUGGAAAGUGCUCAGUGUGCUAUUAACUUAAGGCUUUUAUAGAUGUGCUUUAUCAUGUAAAGGCUGUUCCCUCCAAUUCUUUCUAUACUGAGAAAUUUUUUCAAAGAGGUGUUAAAUUUUUUCAACCCAUGUCACAAAUCUGCAUAUGUACUCCCCUAAACCUAAAAUAAAAGUUGGAAAGAAAAAUAAAACUAUUACUUGAAA